rnacentral:rRNA from 1 species
AUGCAAGUCGAGCGGGGGAAGGUAGCUUGCUACUGGACCUAGCGGCGGACGGGUGAGUAAUGCUUAGGAAUCUGCCUAUUAGUGGGGGACAACAUCUCGAAAGGGAUGCUAAUACCGCAUACGUCCUACGGGAGAAAGCAGGGGAUCUUCGGACCUUGCGCUAAUAGAUGAGCCUAAGUCGGAUUAGCUAGUUGGUGGGGUAAAGGCCUACCAAGGCGACGAUCUGUAGCGGGUCUGAGAGGAUGAUCCGCCACACUGGGACUGAGACACGGCCCAGACUCCUACGGGAGGCAGCAGUGGGGAAUAUUGGACAAUGGGCGCAAGCCUGAUCCAGCCAUGCCGCGUGUGUGAAGAAGGCCUUAUGGUUGUAAAGCACUUUAAGCGAGGAGGAGGCUACUUUAGAUAAUACCUAGAGAUAGUGGACGUUACUCGCAGAAUAAGCACCGGCUAACUCUGUGCCAGCAGCCGCGGUAAUACAGAGGGUGCAAGCGUUAAUCGGAUUUACUGGGCGUAAAGCGCGCGUAGGCGGCUAAUUAAGUCAAAUGUGAAAUCCCCGAGCUUAACUUGGGAAUUGCAUUCGAUACUGGUUAGCUAGAGUGUGGGAGAGGAUGGUAGAAUUCCAGGUGUAGCGGUGAAAUGCGUAGAGAUCUGGAGGAAUACCGAUGGCGAAGGCAGCCAUCUGGCCUAACACUGACGCUGAGGUGCGAAAGCAUGGGGAGCAAACAGGAUUAGAUACCCUGGUAGUCCAUGCCGUAAACGAUGUCUACUAGCCGUUGGGGCCUUUGAGGCUUUAGUGGCGCAGCUAACGCGAUAAGUAGACCGCCUGGGGAGUACGGUCGCAAGACUAAAACUCAAAUGAAUUGACGGGGGCCCGCACAAGCGGUGGAGCAUGUGGUUUAAUUCGAUGCAACGCGAAGAACCUUACCUGGCCUUGACAUAGUAAGAACUUUCCAGAGAUGGAUUGGUGCCUUCGGGAACUUACAUACAGGUGCUGCAUGGCUGUCGUCAGCUC